rnacentral:tRNA from 4 species
GCUUCCUUAGCUCAGUCGGUAGAGCGCAUCCAUGGUAAGGAUGAGGUCGCCGGUUCAAGUCCGGCAGGAAGCU